GCCGGGCGGAGCGGCCACCCCGAAGGGAGAGGAGAAGCCGGGUGGCGCGUCCCCAAAAGCAUGUGUGCCUCCCUAGCGUUUUUUAUUUUUGGGGCAGGAAGAGCCAGCUUACCUGGAACGGGGGAUCCGUUGCAGAUGUUGGAAAUGAAAAUUGGACGGAACAAGUUUUCCCAUCUAGGACUUUAACCCCUCUAACAUGCAUGCAGUGGAGAUGACUUUUGUUAAUGACUCUUAGGAGGCCGUGGGGUCACUUGUUUAUGGGAAAACAUGUUGGUUAUGUAAAGUCAAUACCCUGACAGCAAAACUGAGAAACUAGUUAACGCCUCCUUUUCAAGAGUGCCACAGUGUCUAAAUAGUGAAACUCCACAAAUGAAGAAAGAA
rnacentral:lncRNA from 1 species